AACUCUGGAGAGCGGUGGUCAUCUCGGCUACGUGCGUCGAUGAAGAGCGCAAGCCAACUGGUGAUUAGUGUAGAAUUUGGCAGGACUAGUCUAUGAACAUCGACAUCUUGAGAGAUAUUGGCGGCUCAGGUCUCCACCUGUGGCGAGGCUGGCCGAGGGUCG
rnacentral:rRNA from 1 species